CAGUCUAUGUAAUAUUGUGUUAAGUUUGUGGGGUCAGUCUGUGUAAUAUUGUGUUAGAUUUGUGGGGCCAGUCUGUGUCAUAUUGUGUUGGAUUUGUGGGGCCAGUCUGUGUCAUAUUGUGUUAGGUUUGUGGGGCCAGUCUGUGUCAUAUUGUGUUAGGUUUGUGGGGCCAGUCUGUGUCAUAUUGUGUUAGGUUUGUGGGGCCAGUCUGUGUCAUAUUGUGUUAGGUUUGUGGGGCCAGUCUGUGUCAUAUUGUGUUAGGUUUGUGGGGCCAGUCUGUGUAAUAUUGUGUUAGGUUUGUGGGGCCAGUCUGUGUAAUAUUGUGUUAGGUUUGUGGGGCCAGUCUGUGUAAUAUUGUGUUAGGUUUGUGGGGCCAGUCUGUGUCAUAUUGUGUUAGGUUUGUGGGGCCAGUCUGUGUAAUAUUGUGUUAGGUUUGUGGGGCCAGUCUAUGUAAUAUUGUGUUAAGUUUGUGGGGUCAGUCUGUGUAAUAUUGUGUUAGGUUUGUGGGGCCAGUCUGUGUCAUAUUGUGUUAGGUUUGUGGGGCCAGUCUAUGUAAUAUUGUGUUAAAUUUGUGGGGCCAGUCUGUGUCAUAUUGUGUUAGAUUUGUGGGGCCAGUCUACGUAAUAUUGUGUUAGAUUUGUUGGGUUAGCCUAUGUAAUAUUGUGUUAGGUUUGUUGGGUUAGUCUAUGUAAUAUUGUGGUAGAUUUGUUUGGUCAGUCUAUGCAAUAUUGUGUUAGGUUUGUGCGGCCAGUCUAUGUAAUAUUGUGUUAGAUUUUUUGGGUUAGUCUAUGUAAUAAUGUGUUAGAUUUGUUGGGUUAGUCUAUGUAAUAUUGUGUUAGAUUUGUUGGGCCAGUCUAUGUAAUAUUGUGUUAGAUUUGUUGGGUUAGUCUAUGUCAUAUUGUGUUAGAUUUGUUGGGUUAGUCUAUGUGAUAUUGUGUUAGAUUUGUUGGGUUAGUUUAUGUAAUAUUGUGUUAGAUUUGUUGGGUUAGUCUAUGUCAUAUUGUGUUAGGUUUGUGGAGCCAGUCUAUGUAAUAUUGUGUUAGAUUUGUUGGGUUAGUCUAUGUAAUAUUGUGUUAGAUUUGUUGGGUAAGUCUAUGUAAUAUUGUAUUAGAUUUGUUGUGUUAGUCUAUGUGAUAUUGUAUUAGGUUUUUGGAGCCAGUCUAUGUAAUAUUGUGUUAGGUUUGUGGGGCCAGUCUAUGUCAUAUUGUGUUAGGUUUGUGGGCCAGUCUGUGUAAUAUUUUGUUAGGUUUGUGGGGCCAGUCUGUGUCAUAUUGUGUUAGGUUUGUGGGGCCAGUCUGUGUCAUAUUGUGUUAGGUUUGUGGGACCAGUCUAUGUAAUAUUGUGUUAGAUUUGUGGGGCCAGUCUAUGUAAUAUUGUGUUAGAUUUGUUGGGUUAGUCUGUGUCAUAUUGUGUUAGGUUUGUGGGGCCAGUCUAUGUCAUAUUGUGUUAGGUUUGUGGGACCAGUCUAUGUAAUAUUGUGUUAGAUUUGUAGGGUUAGUCUAUGUAAUAUUGUGUUAGAUUUGUAGGGUUAGUCUAUGUGAUAU
rnacentral:lncRNA from 1 species